ensembl:snRNA U6 U6 spliceosomal RNA
GUGCUCACUUCGGCAGCACAUAGACUAGAAUUCGAGUGAUACAGAGAAGAUUAGCCUGGCCCCUGUGCAAAGAUGACAUGCAGAUUCGUGAAGCAUUCCAUAUUAAA